rnacentral:rRNA from 1 species
UACGUAGGGUCCGAGCGUUGUCCGGAAUUACUGGGCGUAAAGAGCUCGUAGGUGGUUUGUCGCGUUGUUCGUGAAAACUCACAGCUCAACUGUGGGCGUGCGGGCGAUACGGGCAGACUAGAGUACUGCAGGGGAGGCUGGAAUUCCUGGUGUAGCGGUGGAAUGCGCAGAUAUCAGGAGGAACACCGGUGGCGAAGGCGGGUCUCUGGGCAGUAACUGACGCUGGAGGAGCGGAAAAGCGUGGGGAGCGAACAGG